AUUCUGGCAAAAAUAUUUUCUUUUCUAUCUAUUUCGUCUUACAAGGGAUUUUGUAAGAUUUGGCAUUCCCACAAAAAUUUCUUUUUCAUUCUUUUAUAGUAACACAUACACAAACCUCCGAAAUUAGAACACGAAAACAGAUGUCGCUGUUAAAAUUUACGUUUUAUCAAACGAAGUGAAACCGAAGAUAGACGAAGUGAAAUAAGUUAAUGUAAAUAAAGAAAAUGAGGUUAAAGUUAAGUGAAUUUAUCAACAAAACACAAUGGAUUAUUCGAUUUUUGACUGUCAUGGAAAAAAAUUGAAUCAUCCGGAGCUUUUGAACAUCUGUGGCAUCCACGGAUUCCGGGAAGCGGGAAAGAAUACCCGGACAACUCCCAGGCAGCAUGAAAUUUUUGUUUAAUAAGCAGGAUCUUAUGCAGAAUGAUGGAAGCAUUUGUGGAAGAGUUGAAAUUGGUGGGACCAGCUCUCCGGAAUGGUAUUAAGAGAAGAAGUCGCGAAUCUACAUAGAAUGUUCCUUAAUAAAAUGUCUUCCCAUACUCUAA